GGGGUUGGCACAGCAGGGAGCAGGACAUGCUCUGAGAGCUCCAGGCUGAGCAAGACCUUAAGACCACACCAAGUUGGGAAACAGACAAGCUGCAGCUUCCAGGACCCUGUUCAGAGCAGGAAGCCCACAGGGAUGGGAUGCAGAGGUAAGUAGGAAGUGACCCAGGGAAGCUGACGUGAGGCUGUUGCAAGGCACUGCAGGCUACCAUGCUCAAAAGACAAAGAACACACCACUGAAGAGGGGAGAGGUGGUCCUGGCUGCACAGUUUUCCAGUCAGUAGAUUUCUGGAAACAUAUGAUACAUUUGAUUGUACGCCUUGUGGCCCAGAGCCUACAAAAGAAGGGAGGUGACUGAGUUAGCUUUCCGCUGGCAUCUGCUGUGGAGCAAGAGGAAUCAACUGAGUGAGGCAGUACCUUAUUUACAUAUGAACUGCUAAUAGUUUGAGGACACUGGGGUAUAAUUUGACUAAAUUUCAAACUUGGGGCCAAUAUUUUGGAAAUCACCCUGGUGAAAACCAACUGGGCAAGGCCUAGAAAAUGAUUGGGUUCAAGUUCAUCCUGGCUAUGACUGGGGUUUGCUGAGGUUAAGUUGGAGGUCCUGAAGAAAGUCAAAAGAAGAAACAAAAAAAUGUAUGCUUUUGGUUUGCUGUACGGAGUAUUUCUCUAGUUAGAAUGGAGUCAGUGGAGGUUCCCUUAUAUCAUGGUUCCCUUCUUAAAAGAGAUGAGCUGAAGAUAGUAGCUUCAUCCUGAGAAGAUGCUGGAGCAACUGAUCUGGCCCCUAGCUGAGAACUACAGGGUGUAGGUGGAGCAGAGAAGCAAUUGCAGACCACUGGUAGUAUAUUUAGAUGAGAGUUACUAAUCAGUCACAAGCAGAGAGAAGUGUCAGUCUGGCCCCUAACAGAGCUGAAUGGGGAUCCUCAUUACUGAGGGCUGAGUAUACGGACAGCAGAUAUUUCAGCUACAGAGGGAGCAGAUCCAAGGGGGUUAUCCUCUCCAGUCUCCAUCUGCCUGAGUGCUCUGGUGAGGCCUCCCUGACCCAGCAUCACACCUGAACGUUGCUGUAGUAGGUCAUCAAGCAGCAGAAACCCGGAGCUUGCCUAGGCAGUUCAGACCCAGAUUCUCCUUGGGACUAACUAACUGUGAGUGGGGAGGUGACAAUGUUCCAGUAAGUAUUCAUAGGUUGGGACUGUGACUCAUGUACGUUGAGAUAAUAGUGGCAGAAAUUGUUUAGUUGUAAGGCUUGAACAAGUUUACCUGGUCAUUUCCCUUUCCUCAGUAAAGUUUUCCUGUUUAAAAACCCUUUGGUCACUGUGCUUGCAAGUAGGGAAUAAGUUGCCUAUCAGUGACACUCCGAGUGAUACUUAUGUUCCCAUGUUACUGGGUGGGAGCUCAAAGUGGAGUUAUUUAAAUUUUAGAAAAACCGUAGAAGGCAAGGACAGCCCUUAAUUGCUGCCAAUGUCACUGGCAGAAGGCUUACAUUAUUAUAACAAUUGUCUCAGAAAAUAUGGUUAUUUGUAGAGUGAUAGGCAAGAGGAACUAUUUUUGUGGUCAUAAAAUGAAUAGUCAACUCAGGUUUUUUAUUCAAUGUGUUCCUGUAAAGCUUAAAAGUUUGCAGCAAAUACACAAUCCCAUGAGAAACAGCAGUCGGUAGCAGGUGCUAAGACUCCCCUUGAUCAUUUCUGGUUAUUCUUUUUUAUUUUGUUGUAAUAGGGCAAUAAAACAACAUUUGCUUUAUCUGAAGACCUUUGCCUCAAGACAGUUGAGAAUAAGGCAUUCCAAGUUCUGAUGCUUCAAAGUAUCUUUUUUCUAAUUUUGUUUCACACACUGUAGCUUUCAGAUUGAACAAUUUAUCUCAGUCAGGAUUUAAGUGUUUGGAGUGCAGCGAUAAAAGUAAGAACACUAUGGGGCCUGAUUUUCCCUUCAGUUCCACUGAUGGUAUGAAUCGGGGUAAUGCUGCUGAAGUUUGAUGGAGUCACAACCAUGUUACAUUAGAGUAAGUGAGAGAAGAAUGGUGCCUAACAUUUCUUUCAAACAUCAAAAGACCUGGCCCUGCUUGUGAAGUAUGAGUUGUCACUGGGGAAGCCUACAGAACUGGCAUCUGAGAUAGUCAAUAGAGUUGUUUAUAAACAUAAAACUUACCUUCAUAACUUCUGUACUUCAGAAACUGAAAUAUCAUGUGGAUAAGUUUGCUUUUCAACUGUUCUCUCAGAUAGCUGAGCUAUAUCUCCUUGCAUUUCAUUUUUGACUCAAGGGGCUUUGUUUCAAACACCUGCUGCUCCAACCUGGACUUCCUUUUUUGCAUUCAGUUUUGCUUCUUUUGAUAUGUGAACAUCUGGGAGAGAUUUGUUUUUAAAAUCUCGAGUCACUGGGCUGCUUAGGGGAUAUAUUUGAAACCUUCUUUGUUCACUGUUGUUACACAGGGAAGAUAAUUUUAGUGUUGAAAAGAAACUACAUACCUCAAAUCUUUAAUAUUUAAAGUAUAUAUUUAUUGCAGUGUUAAUACAUUUACCUUAAAAAUACCAGGUUUUUUAAAGCUGUUAACUUAUUCAACAACAAUUUGGUGCAUUGAUCCAAGGUCUUGUUUACUGCUGUGCAAAAAUGAUCUCAUUUUUUCCAUGUGGAAACUGAGUUUUUUGUAAAUUUUCUCAAGGGCAAAAUUUGGUCUAGUCUGUCCCUUCUCUCCCGUCUUACCAAAUAGUAUACAGCAAGCAUUAUAGUGAACUGCGAGGACACGAGGCAAUGGUCUGUCUGUUUGGUGUGUGUGGAACAGUCUUGUGUGCAUAUUACAAAAAUGUAAUAUACAAAAAUGAUGUAACCCUAAUUAAAGUUCAAUGAUUGAUGCAGUAAGAGUUAUUUUUAUUAACAAUACCAGUUGUGGAACAAUAUAAUUUUGAUAAAAUUUGCAUGUUACUCAUAAUUGAGGAUGGAAUUUCUUUUUGGUGAGCUCAAAUUCUUCUUCUAACUCAACAUUUUGUGUAAGAAAAGGGAAAGUCUGUUAUGAAGAUGACCUACUUAACCACAAAUAACAUAACUUGGUUAAAAAAAUUUUAAAAAAAACAACAAGCAGUCAUAGGAAC